GUCGUCAGUUUUCGGAUGUGCUCUCGAUACUUUUAUCGUUCAAUCAAAUGGCGUCUAGACUACAUUGGCUAGAGAUAUAGAGGGAUAGAGGGAUAGUUGAGAUCUCAAAAAACAUCUUGAACCCCGCUGCAUUUUUAAGCCUGUCCAAAGUCAGGAGUCUCCUGCCUUUGUUAGUCUUGUAUGAUUGUUAAUCUUAGUUUCUUGUAUAUAAUUCGGAGUUUAGAAUGACGUCCAUUAUCAUUGAAUUAGUAUACAUAUUUGUUUAGGGGCCAGCUGAAGGACUGCAUUGCCGACCCAUUGGUGGCCUUCGGUUGUUG
rnacentral:lncRNA from 1 species